rnacentral:snRNA from 1 species
AUCGCUUCUCGGCCUUUUGGCUAAGAUCAAGUGUAUAACAACAAAUCAAAUUCAAUUUUAAGUAAUUAAAAAAUUUUCAAACUCUGAUCCACUGUUGUUUGUAUUCUUGACAAUUCUAAUUUAUUCACUGCAUAUGGGUUAGAGUUAAAAUAC